rnacentral:rRNA from 1 species
CACGUAGGGCGCAAGCGUUGUCCGGAAUUAUUGGGCGUAAAGCGUGCGUAGGCGGCUGCGCAAGUCGGUUGUGAAACCCCGGGGCUCAACCCCGGAACUGCAUCCGAUACUGCGUGGCUAGAGGUAGGUAGGGGAGAUCGGAAUUCCUGGUGUAGCGGUGAAAUGCGCAGAUAUCAGGAGGAACACCGGUGGCGAAGGCGGAUCUCUGGGCCUUACCUGACGCUCAGGCACGAAAGCUAGGGGAGCGAACAGG